ensembl:lncRNA
GGGAGAGAGACAGUGGAAAGGAGAGGGGAGAGAGACAGUGGAAAGGAGAGGGGAGAGACAGUGGACAGGAGAGGGGAGAGAGACAGUGGACAGGAGAGGGGAGAGAGACAGUGGAAAGGAGAGGGGAGAGAGACAGUGGAAAGGAGAGGUGAGAGACAGUGGAAAGGAGAGGGGUGAGAGACAGUGGACAGGAGAGGAGAGAGAGACAGUGGAAAGGAGAGAGAGAGACAGUGGAAAGGAGAGAGAGAGACAGUGGAAAGGAGAGGGGAGACAGUGGAAAGGAGAGGGGAGAGAGACAUGGAACAGGAGAGGGGAGAGAGACAGUGGAAAGGAGAGGAGAGAAAGACAGUGGACAGGAGAGGAGAGAAAGACAGUGGAAAGGAGAGAGGGAGACAGUGGAAAGGAGAGAGAGAGACAGUGGAAAGGAG